rnacentral:lncRNA from 1 species
AUUGCAUCUCUUCUCAAAAAGGUCAUUCCUUACAAGAUUUUCUUGAAAAUUGCUCACGAAACAGCUGUGAAGCAAUAGAAUGUUUGGAGAAUCAAAUCAGGGACGCAGCACAUCUAGCAGAAGAUAUUGUUGAAUCCUAUGUUGUCGGUCAACUUCUUCCAGAAUCCACAAGUAACAGGGGCAAGAUCCUCACAUUGUUCUGCUCUAACUUGGUGAAACUAAACGAAGAAAUUGAUUCAUUAAUAAAUCAGAUGAUGAAGAUUGAGGACAACGUUGUCUUAGAAGAUCAACAGCCAAGGACUUGGAUGCCAUAAAAAACUGUUAUGAAGUGGUAUGAUUGUUCAAAACCAACAAUUAAAAAAAAAAAAUGAGUUAGGCCAUGCGAAAAAAAAAAAAUGAGUUAGGCCAUGCGACCGCAUGGCCUAAAGCCAUGCGGCCGCAUGGAACCCUACCGAGACCAAAUGGUCUCGGUAGGAUUGUACCAUGCGGCCGCAUGGUACAGAAAAGUCGACCGUUGGGUCAUUUUUUGUUAGUUUUUUGGUGGCUUUUCAUCCAUAAGGUGCACCACUUCGUGAAGCUAUACUACUUGGCUAUAAAUAGGUGAUCUUGGGUCAUUGAAAAGGUGGAAAAAAAAAAAGAAAUUCCUAUUAUAUUGAUACUUCUUGAGAUCAAAUCCAAAAGAAAAUACCCUCUCAUAUUCAUCUUUUUCUUUGUGUUCUUAAGUUUUAGAGAUUCAAACAAGUGUUUAGUGUUUGAAUCUCUAUAAGACUUGAUUAAUCCUUCAAACCUUUUGCCGGAUCACCCUUUAAACACCAAAAUAGUGGGGGCAAAAUUCGUUUGAGGACAACAAUCAAAGAUUGUGUUUGAGCCUUCAAUUUCUUCAUAUAUAUACUUUGCUAUUUCUUCAUCUCCUAUACUUCUUUCGAUUUUUAAUUUUGUUUGUAAUUCGUUCUCAUAAUAUCUUUGGUGGAGUAACAUUAUUUCCAACAAUCUCAAACGAAUUUUUGUGAUGGAAAACGAAACUACAAUGGCGACCAUCAAAUUGAUGAAUCAAGAUUUGGUUCGAUUGGAUCGGUUCGAUGGCACAAAUUUCACAAGGUGGCAAGACAAACUGAAGUUUCUUCUCACCGCAUUGAAGAUCUUCUAUAUCUUAGACCCAGAAUUGACGCCAUUACCGGAACCCACCAAUGGAGAAACCGAAGCAGUUAGAGCAGAAAGGCAA